GACCUUCUCCUGGCCUGGGGAGCUCAGCGGAACUUUGCAGCUCCUGCUUUUUUCUGUCUCCUUUUUUGUGAACUGUCAGAAUUUCCCCUCACCCCUCCAUGCAGCAAAAUGGGUUCAGAAGUUCAUCUGUGCUUUAUUCCUGGUACAGAAAGGAGGAACUGCUUAAUAUAGGGCUGCCGUGAAAAUAUGGUUCAAACCCAGCUCUAAGUUCUUCCAACUCUGAUUUCCGGCUGCCGGAGUUCGCAGCAUCACCUUUAUUUCAGCCAAAGACAUUUUGUUCCCUACUUGGCUUUGGGCUUUUGCACCCUGAAAAUGCUGACUGUUUUCCACUUCUGACUUACUGCUGAGACUUGAGGUAUCCAAAUAAUAUUAGAAAACAAACCACUGGCUCGGAAGAUGGAGGGAGACAGCCUGAACUUGUGCACCUUCUAUGCUUGUGACUCAGUGAGCGAAUGGUGGCAGCUUACUCAGCACAGCCAGCUCCCCGCUUUCUCCUGGUUGUACCAUUUUCUGGCAACCAGUCACUAAAAUCAGCAGAGCUCUGGUGAUGUGCUGAACUGCCGGGGACGUGGAGACAGGGGACGUGCAAACGUUGAGGGAGUCUUAAGUCACAGUUUCUCAGAGAGUCUCUUCAUUUAGAAAUCAAACUCUUACACUGAACAGUGAAAUCCCGCUCUUUGUCAGUGUUAUAAAUACACGUUACAUUAUUGGCUUUUUGCAAAUGUUAAAAUGAGUGCUAUAUGUAAAAUGUUGGAAUAACUUUCCUGUAUGAAUAGAGUUUUUAAUUUUGCUGUUAACAGAACUUAGAAAGAGUAGUGUGAUAAAUAUAUAUCUUAGGCCACAGCACAAUAUUAAAGUAGAGACUAUGUGAUGUUAAAAUUCUCUUAUUCAUGUAACUAACUCAGAGAAUGGUAAAGGCAAUUAGCUGAUCCCUCACAUUUGUCAAUUAUCCUCUCUGGAUGAAGAUAACAGUGACAGAAACCAGAACCCCAAAGGAAGAAUUUAUUAACUCUCCAUUAUCAAGGCGGGUAAAAACAACUGGAUAGAACCACAAGGAGAAAUAAAAUAUAUUGAUUUAAUCUACAGGGUGGCAUGAAGACGAGUUAAAGGUUAAAACUAAGCAAAAGAACAUCUAAACUCAAAGGAAUGUUUGAAUAAUGCGUAAUAGUCUAUAAAUAUGCAACAGGCUGAUGCAACAGAGAAAGUAUUUAAAGGGUCCUUCCAAGAUAGUACCCGUGCUCUUGGCUUAGUAUGCCAAGCA